rnacentral:rRNA from 1 species
UACGGAGGGUGCGAGCGUUUGUUCGGAAUCACUGGGCGUAAAGGGCGCGUAGGCGGCUUUAUAAGUCGGGGGUGAAAGCCUGUGGCUCAACCACAGAAUUGCCUUCGAUACUGUAGAGCUUGAGACCGGAAGAGGUAAGUGGAACUGCGAGUGUAGAGGUGAAAUUCGUAGAUAUUCGCAAGAACACCAGUGGCGAAGGCGGCUUACUGGUCCGGUUCUGACGCUGAGGCGCGAAAGCGUGGGGAGCAAACAGG